rnacentral:rRNA from 1 species
UACGAAGGGGGCUAGCGUUGUUCGGAAUCACUGGGCGUAAAGCGCACGUAGGCGGAUCGUUAAGUCGGGGGUGAAAUCCUGAGGCUCAACCUCAGAACUGCCUCCGAUACUGGCGAUCUCGAGUCCGGAAGAGGUUGGUGGAACAGCUAGUGUAGAGGUGGAAUUCGUAGAUAUUAGGAAGAACACCAGUGGCGAAGGCGGCUCACUGGUCCGGUACUGACGCUGAGGUGCGAAAGCGUGGGGAGCAAACAGG